rnacentral:rRNA from 1 species
GUGCCAGACUCCUACGGGAGGCAGCAGUGGGGAAUAUUGCACAAUGGGCGCAAGCCUGAUGCAGCCAUGCCGCGUGUAUGAAGAAGGCCUUCGGGUUGUAAAGUACUUUCAGCGGGGAGGAAGGGGUUAAGGUUAAUAACCUUAGCCAUUGACGUUACCCGCAGAAGAAGCGCCGGCUAACUCCGUGCCAGCAGCCGCGGUAAUACGGAGGGUGCAAGCGUUAAUCGGAAUUACUGGGCGUAAAGCGCACGCAGGCGGUCUGUCAAGUCGGAUGUGAAAUCCCCGGGCUCAACCUGGGAACUGCAUUCGAAACUGGCAGGCUGGAGUCUUGUAGAGGGGGGUAGAAUUCCAGGUGUAGCGGUGAAAUGCGUAGAGAUCUGGAGGAAUACCGGUGGCGAAGGCGGCCCCCUGGACAAAGACUGACGCUCAGGUGCGAAAGCGUGGGGAGCAAACAGGAUUAGAUACCCCCGUAUA